CACCAGCAAGGGCUUCCCCUGGUUCUCAGGCUGAAACAGAGAGCACAGGCCACGGUGAGGAGCUGAGGACAAACAAGGAGGAUUGCAGGGUGCCAUCUACAUGCCACUAGCAAGGAAAUGAAGCUUUCAAGGCAGCUCUUCAGUGACACCAGGAGAGCCGGAAGGAUGCUCUCUCUCUCUCUAUCUUGAAAAGCAGGAGAGCACACUUGUGGCUCACACUGCGGGUUCAAGUCAGGGAACAAAGACCAAUCACAGCUUCACACCAUACCUCUGUCCAUGCCAGGUCAGGCCCACAGCUGAUCUUGCUGCUCGCGAUGCCCAUCACAGCAGGCUCGACAAGCUGCAACAGAAAAGAAACACAUUUCCUGUGUUCACACAGCACUGGAUUGAGAGUCUUCUUCAGAACUACUCUCAGUUGCCCACUGGCGGAGGCAGGUGUUCUACAAACAACCACUCUGUGCAGUCUAUUCAAACGGGACAGCCUUGCCCACGCAUUUCCUCUGCCUGCAUGCCCGCUGUGCUCCCUACAGCUGUCGGGCACACUCCCACAGCCAAAGCAUGCACGCUUGCGCCCCUGGCUCAUGCUGUGCAGCUCUGCACAAACUGCGGCUAGGGCUCUUUGCCUAAGGGAUUGCUUUCCUUCACACUAGCUGCUCCCAGCACUACAGGCAGCAUCCUGCCGAGGGCUGAGCUGGAGGGGAAGUGGAAAAAACCCACGCGGGACCAGUGCCGCAUCCCAGCUGGACGAGCCUGUGUUACUACACACGCUGCGACUAAACACGGGCUGCUGAACCAUGUGGCAAUACAAAGCAUGGCACGUACCUGGCAAGAGAUCAGAACAAGGGAGAAGAAGAUCCUCAAACCCGCAGCCGGUCCUUGUCACUUUGCUCUGAUCUUCCGCGAGCAAAAGCUGCACCAAGGGAGCAGGCGGAGGGUGGGGAGGGGACAGAGGAAGAGCAGGUCAGUGAGCCUGCACAAUUUAGCAAGGAAGGCGAGGGAAAAACCGUGGCACAAAUGCCACCUUGAUGGAUGGAUGGCCUGCGGGAAAAUGGCGUCUGACGGUCCAGACUAAGCAAUAUGAUCCUAGGAGCUCCGCCAGCCAGCAC
ensembl:lncRNA